AGGACAACACCGCGUGAGCCAACAGCAGGACCGUUGAGGCCCACUGAUGGAGGUGAGCCUUCCCACCAGCUGCUCCUUGCUAUGUCCUGAACUUCAGUAACAUUCCUGGCUGCACUUGAAGUUCGAAACGCUAAACACAGACAGCCGAACAUGAACAAAGGGAAUUCACUCUCCAGUCGUUUGUACUGCCUCAUCGGAAUGUGACAGUCAGCUGAUAAACUUGGAGGUACAGCAUAAAAAGAGAGGAUGGAGGAGGAUGCUGGGAGAUGGGAUUUGAAAGCUAUUUCUCCAAUGCUUAAAAAAUUAAAU